GCCAUGAUGGGAGCUCUCUGAGGCCAUUUUUUACAUUGAGACUCUUUUCCAUUUGGAGCAUCAGACCUGGACUCUCUGCAUUUCCUUUAUAUUCAGCUUGAAAACUGAAUGGUUUCUUCUUUAGCUCAUGUGCCUUGCUUCAUAUCAUACCCAGCUAAGGAAACCACUUGGCACGUUGUGCAUUCUGCCUGGAGCUCUCCUUAGCCAGAUGCACAAUUUCAUUAGAUACUUUCUGUUUUCCAAGUUACCACAAGAAGUCAUCUUACUAAUUGUGGCACCACUACCUAACCUGGGUUUUCAGCUUGCAGCACUUUUCUUACUGUUCUUCCACCCGGCCACCCGGUCCCAGAGUCAAUGCCACACGUUUCAGGGUUUUGUUAUGGCACCAUCCCACAUCUGGGGACCAAUGGCAAAUAUCAGUUAUCUAUUGCUAUAUGAUAAACCACCCUAAGCUUCUUAAAACAGCACCGUGAUGUUGCUCAUGAUUCUGUGCAUCUUGAGGUCAAGGGUGCAGCGCAGGCAGCUCGUCUCUGCUCCACCUGCCGCCAGCCAGUUUCGCUCCCCCAUCUGGGCCUUCACUUUUCCCCCGCGUGGCCGCUCUCUCUCUCCCACGGACGGCCUGGCCUUUCUCACAGGCCAUCUAGGGUGGCUGUGUCUGUUGGGGUUGAGACGAGGUCAGCACCCCGGCAGGUGCCGUGGCCCGCGCGGUAACAGGCUGGCGUGUGUCCCCAGAGUACACCAUCACCAUGUACGACACCAAAGCCCGCGAGCUCCGCUGGAACGCCACCUACUUCGACUACGCAGCCGCGCUGCCCGAGGACGACGGGGACUACAAGAUGUCCCACUUUGUGUCCAAUGGCGACGGGCUGGUGGUGACUGUGGACAGCGAAUCCGGGGACGUCCUGUGGAUCCAAAACUAUGCCUCCCCCGUGGUGGCCUUUUACGUCUGGCAGCGGGAGGGCCUGCGGAAGGUGAUGCACAUCAACGUGGCCGUGGAGACCCUGCGCUACCUGACCUUCAUGUCCGGGGAGGUGGGGCGCAUCACCAAGUGGAAGUACCCGUUCCCCAAGGAGACGGAAGCCAAGAGCAAGCUCACGUGAGUGGGGGGACUGAGGGCCCAAGGGGCCGCUGGGACCCUGGCAUUCGCAUCCUGCAGCAGCCGCCUGGUGCACCCCACGCUGGGGGUCAGGGCCAGGGGCAGAAGACUCCUUCACGUCAUCGGGAUAUGCAGAACCCAGACCCGCUCUUUCGGAAACCUCAGCAUCCAAGAACUGGGCACC
rnacentral:lncRNA from 1 species